UGACGAUUGUUCCUCCUGCUGCUUUGAGUUUGGGCUGGUCAGGAUUUUUGAUCGUCAUAGAGAAAUCAGAGUCUACCUUACCCUGUGUGCGUCUGGCUGCUGGUGGCCACACUAGAUUUGCGGGACUCUACAGCA